UAGGGAAUCUUCCACAAUGGGCGAAAGCCUGAUGGAGCAACGCCGCGUGUGUGAUGAAGGGUUUCGGCUCGUAAAACACUGCUGUAAGAGAAGAAUGACAUUGAGAGUAACUGUUCAAUGUGUGACGGUAUCUUACCAGAAAGGAACGGCUAAAUACGUGCCAG
rnacentral:rRNA from 1 species